rnacentral:rRNA from 1 species
UACGUAGGGUGCAAGCGUUGUCCGGAAUUAUUGGGCGUAAAGAGCUCGUAGGCGGUCUGUCGCGUCGGCUGUGAAAUCCCGAGGCUCAACCUCGGGUCUGCAGUCGAUACGGGCAAACUAGAGUAUUGCAGGGGAGACUGGAAUUCCUGGUGUAGCGGUGAAAUGCGCAGAUAUCAGGAGGAACCCCGGUGGCGAAGGCGGGUCUCUGGGCAAUAACUGACGCUGAGGAGCGAAAGCGUGGGGAGCGAACAGG